rnacentral:rRNA from 1 species
GAUGGCGACCGGCGCACGGGUGAGUAACACGUAUCCAACCUGCCGAUGACUCGGGGGAUAGCCUUUCGAAAGAAAGAUUAAUACCCGAUGGCAUAGUUCUUCCGCAUGGUGGAACUAUUAAAGAAUUUCGGUCAUCGAUGGGGAUGCGUUCCAUUAGGUUGUUGGCGGGGUAACGGCCCACCAAGCCUUCGAUGGAUAGGGGGUUCUGAGAGGAAGGUCCCCCACAUUGGAACUGAGACACGGUCCAAACUCCUACGGGAGGCAGCAUG